rnacentral:rRNA from 1 species
AUCUUGGACAAUGGGCGCAAGCCUGAUCCAGCCAUGCCGGGUGAGUGAAGGAGGCCUUAGGGUUGUAAAGCUCUUUUGCCAGGGACGAUAAUGACGGUACCUGGAGAAUAAGCCCCGGCAAACUUCGUGCCAGCAGCCGCGGUAAUACGAAGGGGGCUAGCGUUGUUCGGAUUUACUGGGCGUAAAGCGCACGUAGGCGGGUCGUUAAGUCAGGGGUGAAAUCCCGGAGCUCAACUCCGGAACUGCCUUUGAUACUGGCGACCUUGAGGCUGGAAGAGGUUAGUGGAAUUCCCAGUGUAGAGGUGAAAUGCGUAGAUAUUGUGAAGAUCACCAGUGGCGAAGGCGGCGAACUGGUCCAGAUCUGACGCUGAGGUGCGAAAGCGUGGGGAGCAAACA